AAACCGUUCAGGGGUAAACCUAAGAAACCCAAAAGAUCGAACGGGGAGAUUCAUCGGCAGCGGCGCUGGCUUCGCGUCGGUGGGCGAUGUCCCGUGUGGCCGUUCCUCGGUUUACGCGCGGGCACGCUACCGUGCGUCGAUGUCCGGCGAUCGUAGUCGUGCACUUCUCCCCUAGUAGGACGUCGCGACCCGCUGGGUGUCGGUCUACGGCCCGGGUGCGGUGACUGUCGCGUCGCUGGUUAAACAGCACGCGGCAAACCCCCGGUCGCCCGGCCGGCUGCCCGGCGGUACACGCAACGGUAUCAGGCCGCGCUGUGCGCGCGUCGAGCCCGUCGCAAGCGAGCGCCACGGUACCCGGAGGUACGGACCUAGCGCCGUCCCCGGUCCUGGCCCGCUGUUAGCUGUACGGUGCUACCUUCGACAGGCCUCCUCUCGGUAACACGAGAUACCGGUCGGCGACGCUACUGCUUUGGGUACUCUUAGGA
rnacentral:rRNA from 1 species